rnacentral:rRNA from 1 species
CCUACGGGUGGCAGCAGUGGGGGAUAUUGCACAAUGGGGGGAACCCUGAUGCAGCGACGCCGCGUGGGUGAAGGAGUGCUUCGGCAUGUAAAGCCCUAUCGGCAGGGAAGAAGCAAGACGGUACCUGACUAAGAAGCCCCGGCUAACUACGUGCCAGCAGCCGCGGUAAUACGUAGGGGCCGAGCGUUAUCCGGAUUCACUGGGUGUAAAGGGAGCGUAGACGGCCAUGCAGGCCAGGGGUGAAAGCCCGGGGCCCAACCCCGGGACUGCCCUUGGAACUGUGCGGCUAGAGUGCGGGAGGGGCAGGCGGAAUUCCUGGUGUAGCGGUGAAAUGCGUAGAUAUCAGGAGGAACACCGGCGGCGAAGGCGGCCUGCUGGACUGCGACUGACGUUGAGGCUCGAAAGCGUGGGGAGCGAACAGGAUUAGAUACCCCGGUAGUC